rnacentral:rRNA from 1 species
CAUUCGCCGCGGUAACACAGAGGGUGCGAGCGUUAAUCGGAUUUACUGGGCGUAAAGCGUGCGUAGGCGGCUUUUUAAGUCGGAUGUGAAAUCCCUGAGCUUAACUUAGGAAUUGCAUUCGAUACUGGGAAGCUAGAGUAUGGGAGAGGAUGGUAGAAUUCCAGGUGUAGCGGUGAAAUGCGUAGAGAUCUGGAGGAAUACCGAUGGCGAAGGCAGCCAUCUGGCCUAAUACUGACGCUGAGGUACGAAAGCAUGGGGAGCAAACAGGAUUAGAUACCCCGGUAGCCUGUCUCUUAUACAC